CAAACAACUUGAAGACUUGCUUGUGUCAAUGGAUUAACUUGUCACGGCGCGCGCAGUAGUAACAAAAGACGUUUGUGCAUGUAGUUCACGCACCAGUCGCGGCGUGAAUGAAAACCAGACGCUCAUAGAGCGAGGUAAAUUUGCGAACACAAGGUAGUCCCCACUCAGAGAUAAGCCUGUGCGUAUGGCCUCGUCUCGCGAACGAAGAGAAUAGAAACCUUUAAAAAGAGAGUGCUUGAAGAGCUAGUACUUGAAAGGAAAAUCAGUAGAGCCGGAAAGAGCACUGGUCCCAAACUUUGUAAUACUCGAAACAUGUCAUAACGUGCAUUCAAGCAGAGUCAGAAAUUCCAUAGAACAGUGCAUCAUCAUUCAGCUACACCAGAUUUAUUCCUCUGUUGUUCCCGUUCUCUCAAUAAGCUGUUCUCCGCUAAUCAUUUGAUGUUAUCAAGGUUUGGUGAUUCACGACAUCUUUUCAAUCUGUUUGUACACGAGCCGUCUCCUCGAGUUCUAGUUUGUUAUUGUAACGGCUAUCAAUUAAUUAGUGUCAUUUUUACCUUAACCAAAUAAAAAAGGGAACAUGA